GGCCCCGUGGCGUAAUAGUAGCGCAUCUGAUUCCAGGAAUGGAAUUUCCAGAAGGUUAUCCGUGCAAGUCGGGUCGGGGUCA
rnacentral:tRNA from 1 species